AUUGAACGCUGGCGGCAGGCCUAACACAUGCAAGUCGAGCGGUAGAUGCUUUCGGGCAUUGAGAGCGGCGGACGGGUGAGUAACGCGUGGGAAUCUGGCUCUUAGAGGGGGACAACUUGUGGAAACGCAAGCUAAUACCGCAUACGACCUAAGGGGGAACGCAGGGGAUCUUCGGAACUUGCGCAUAGAGAUGAACGCGCGUCGGAUUAGCUAGUUGGUGGGGUAAAGGCGUACCAAGGCGACGAUCCGUAACUGGUCCGAGAGGAUGAUCAGUCACGCUGGAACUGAGACACGGUCCAGACUCCUACGGGAGGCAGCAGUGGGGAAUAUUGGACAAUGGGGGCAACCCUGAUCCAGCCAUGCCGCGUGUGUGAAGAAGGCCUUCGGGUUGUAAAGCACUUUAAGUUGGGAGGAAAGGGUGCUGGCUAAUAUCCAGUAUCUAUGACGUUACCAACAGAAUAAGCACCGGCUAACUCCGUGCCAGCCGCCGCCGUAACAC
rnacentral:rRNA from 1 species